GACGAACGCUGGCGGCGUGCCUAAUACAUGCAAGUCGAACGCAGUGGGGACGGGUGAGUAACACGUGGGUAACCUCCCAUCAGAGGGGAUAACACUUGGAAACAGGUGCUAAACCGAUACUGAUGGAUGGACCCUCGGUGCAUUAGCUUGUUGAUGAUGUAACGGCUCACCAAGGCCACGAUGCAUAGCCGACCGGAGAGGGUGAUCGGCCAAACUGGGACUGAGACACGGCCCAGAUUCCGCCGGUAGGUAGCAGUAGGGAAUCGGCGGCAAUGGACGAAAGUCUGACCGAGGAACGCCGCGUGAGGAAAGAAGGUUUUCGGAUCGUAAAACUCUGUUGUUAGAGAAGCGGUAUCUAACCAGAAAGCCACGGCUAACUACGUGCCAGCAGCCGCGGUAAUAC
rnacentral:rRNA from 1 species